UUCGAAAGGAACGCUAAUACCGCAUACGUCCUACGGGAGAAAGUGGGGGAUCUUCGGACCUCACGCUAUCAGAUGAGCCUAGGUCGGAUUAGCUAGUUGGUGGGGUAACGGCUCACCAAGGCGACGAUCCGUAACUGGUCUGAGAGGAUGAUCAGUCACACUGGAACUGAGACACGGUCCAGACUCCUACGGGAGGCAGCAGUGGGGAAUAUUGGACAAUGGGCGAAAGCCUGAUCCAGCCAUGCCGCGUGUGUGAAGAAGGCCCUCGGGUCGUAAAGCACUUUAAGCUGGGAGGAAGGGUUGUAACCUAAUACGUUGCAGCUUUGACGUUACCAGCAGAAUAAGCACCGGCUAACUCUGUGCCAGCAGCCGCGGUAAUACAGAGGGUGCAAGCGUUAAUCGGAAUUACUGGGCGUAAAGCGCGCGUAGGUGGCUUGGUAAGUUGAAUGUGAAAUCCCCGGGCUCAACCUGGGAACUGCAUCCAAAACUGCCUGGCUAGAGUACGGUAGAGGGUGGUGGAAUUUCCUGUGUAGCGGUGAAAUGCGUAGAUAUAGGAAGGAACACCAGUGGCGAAGGCGACCACCUGGACUGAUACUGACACUGAGGUGCGAAAG
rnacentral:rRNA from 1 species